rnacentral:rRNA from 1 species
GACGAACGCUGGCGGCGUGCUUAACACAUGCAAGUCGAACGGUGAAGCGCCUUCCUUUUUGGUGGGUGUGGAUGAGUGGCGAACGGGUGAGUAACACGUGAGUAACCUGCCCCCUUCUUCUGGAUAACCGCAUGAAAGUGUGGCUAAUACGGGAUAUUCUGGGUCUGUCGCAUGAUGGGUCUGGGAAAGAUAUUGUUUCGGUGGGGGAUGGGCUCGCGGCCUAUCAGCUUGUUGGUGGGGUGAUGGCCUACCAAGGCGGUGACGGGUAGCCGGCCUGAGAGGGUGGACGGUCACACUGGGACUGAGACACAGGCCAGACUCGUACGGGAGGCAGCAGUGGGGAAUAUUGCACAAUGGGCGCAAGCCUGAUGCAGCGACGCCGCGUGAGGGAUGGAGGCCUUCGGGUUGUGAACCUCUUUCGCCAGUGAAGCAGGCCUGCCUCGUUUGUGGGUGGGUUGACGGUAGCUGGAGAAGAAGCGCCGGCUAACUACGUG